rnacentral:lncRNA from 12 species
CUUUGGGGAUUACUGUAUUAUCAGGAUGGUUGCAUAACUGAACGAGUGAAUUGGAAAGGAUUACAUAAACCAAGCCGGGAAAACUGCCCAGCUGUUGGCUGCUGCUGCACUUCCUCCUUUACACUCUUCACACUGAUAGGGAGCAU